AAGUCGUAACAAGGUUUCCGUAGGUGAACCUGCGGAAGGAUCAUUCUUGUACUUGGCAUAACUGCCAAACACAACCAACAACUGUGUGAACCAUACCUUUGACUGUUGUCGAAGACCGGAUUUGGUAGAAGGCGGGGCGAAACUUGUUAUUGUCUAGCACGCUAGCACGACGGCAAGUAGUAGCUUGCGCGCUAUCACUGAUUUUCGGCAACAAUAUUUAGUACGUACCUUAUAUGAACUGAAUUUACUAAACACUUUAUAUAUACCAAAUACAACUUUUAGCAACGGAUCUCUAGGCUCUC
rnacentral:misc_RNA from 1 species